AACGAACGCUGGCGGCAUGCCUAACACAUGCAAGUCGAACGAAGGCUUCGGCCUUAGUGGCGCACGGGUGCGUAACGCGUGGGAAUCUGCCCCUCGGUUCGGAAUAACAGUUAGAAAUGGCUGCUAAUACCGGAUGAUGACUUCGGUCCAAAGAUUUAUCGCCGAGGGAUGAGCCCGCGUAAGAUUAGGUAGUUGGUGGGGUAGAGGCCUACAAAGCCGACGAUCUUUAGCUGGUCUGAGAGGAUGAUAAGCCACACUGGGACUGAGACACGGUCCAGAAUCCUGCGGGAGGCAGCAGGGGUGAAUAUUGGACAAUGGGCGAAAGCCUGAUCCGGCCAAGCCGCGUGAGUGAUGAAGGCCUUAGGGUUGUAAAGCUCUUUUACCAGGGAAGAUAAUGACGGUAGCUGGAGAAUAAGCUCCGGCUAACUCCGUGGCAGCCGCCGCGGUAA
rnacentral:rRNA from 1 species